GGGGGAGGUAAAGUAGAGAGAGAGGGAGAGAGAGGUAAAGUAGAGAGAGAGAGAGAGAGAGAGAGAGGUAAUAGGGGGAGAGAGAGAGGUAAAGUAGAGAGAGAGAGAGAGAGAGAGAGAGGUAACGUAGAGCGAGGGGGGGGGGGUAAAGUAGAGAGGUCUAAUAGCAUUAAGUCAGAGCUGCUCUGCUGAUGCCUAUGCUGAUGCCUGUGCUGAUGCUUGGGCUCUUUUUAGGUCCAGAAACUGCAGUUGCCUCCGGUCCUGAUCCGGUCCAGAUCCGGUCCUGAUCUGGCAGGAAUCCAUGCCAGAGAUUACCCGCUAUCUGACUGAUUUGGUGAUUUGAACAUAUAAUACACGCGUAAUUAAAUGGUUUUGGUCUGUUGCUAUUCCCUAGCCAUCACUUAUCUUCCAUUAGAGGAGUUGUUUUAGAGCUUGAAUAUAUUAUGAUAGUUCAUGAGACUACUUGUGGAAGGUUUUUUUUUUUUUGCAGCGAAUCACACAGUUGCAUCCUGUUGCUGGAGGGCAGUACUACCACUGAAUAUCAUUUGUGGAGAUUCCCCCUCUUAAUGUGUCUCCAUUACCAUAGUCUCAAAAGCUUCGUCCAAACGGCUCUCUGGAUGCUUUGGAUGCCUCACCAAAUGGUGUCCCUCAUGACUUGCAUCAUUGCAGUCGUGUGCGGGGUGUCUUGUGUGUGUGUGUGGUGUGUGUACGUUUGUGUACGCUUGUGUAUGGCGUAUGCCAGUGUGUAUGUGUGGUGUAUGUACGUUUGUGUAUGGCUUAUGCCAGUUUGUAUGUGUGGUG
ensembl:lncRNA